UCCACGCCCUAAACGAUGAACACUAGUCGUCGGAAUGCUAGCCAUUUCGGUGAUGCACUUAACAGAUUAAGUGUUCCGCCUGGGGAGUACGGUCGCAAGAUUAAAACUCAAAGGAAUAGACGGGGACCCGCACAAGAGGUGGAGCCAAUCUCAUAAAGCGUCUCUCAGUUCGGAUUGAAGUCUGCAACUCGACUUCAUGAAGCUGGAAUCACUAGUAAUCGUAGAUCAGCAAUGCUACGGUGAAUACGUUCCCGGGUCUUGUACUCACCGCCCGUCACACCAUGGGAGUUGAUUUCACCCGAAAUUGGGAAGCUAACCUUCGGGAGGCUACCACUUACGGUGGAAUUAGCGACUGGGGUGAAGUCGUAAC
rnacentral:rRNA from 1 species